GAUGAACGCUAGCUACAGGCUUAACACAUGCAAGUCGAGGGGAAACGGCAUCGAAAGCUUGCUUUUGAUGGGCGUCGACCGGCGCACGGGUGAGUAACGCGUAUCCAACCUGCCCAUCACUUGGGAAUAACCUUGCGAAAGUAAGACUAAUGCCCAAUGACAUCCCACGAAGGCAUCCGAAUGGGAUUAAAGAUUUAUCGGUGAUGGAUGGGGAUGCGUCUGAUUAGCUUGUUGGCGGGGUGACGGCCCACCAAGGCAACGAUCAGUAGGGGUUCUGAGAGGAAGGUCCCACACAUUGGAACUGAGACACGGUCCAAACUCCUACGGGAGGCAGCAGUGAGGAAUAUUGGUCAAUGGGCGAGAGCCUGAACCAGCCAAGUAGCGUGCAGGAUGACGGCCCUAUGGGUUGUAAACUGCUUUUAUAAGGGAAUAAAGUGGGUCACGUGUGACUUUUUGCAUGUACCUUAUGAAUAAGGACCGGCUAAUUCCGUG
rnacentral:rRNA from 1 species